AAGUCGUAACAAGGUUUCCGUAGGUGAACCUGCGGAAGGAUCAUUAACACUUUUAUGUGCUACUCUAAACCAAACCUGGUGACCAAACCCUGCUCGUGGGUUAGAAUGUGUUGGUUGUCAACACUUCUAGCUUCGCGAGGAUAAAUAACUGUUUAUUUUAACUUUUAUUACUUUAAUACUAACCUUCAUUUGCUGGUCUCCAUGCCAGUGAAUUAACAAAACGCGAACAACUCUUAGCAGUGGAUAUCUUGGUUCUC
rnacentral:misc_RNA from 1 species